rnacentral:rRNA from 1 species
GAUGAACGCUGGCGGCGUGCCUAAUACAUGCAAGUCGAGCGAACAGACGAGGAGCUUGCUCCUCUGACGUUAGCGGCGGACGGGUGAGUAACACGUGGAUAACCUACCUAUAAGACUGGGAUAACUUCGGGAAACCGGAGCUAAUACCGGAUAACAUGUUGAACCGCAUGGUUCAACAGUGAAAGACGGUCUUGCUGUCACUUAUAGAUGGAUCCGCGCCGCAUUAGCUAGUUGGUAAGGUAACGGCUUACCAAGGCAACGAUGCGUAGCCGAACUGAGAGGGUGAUCGGCCACACUGGAACUGAGACACGGUCCCGACUCCUACGGGAGGCAGCAGUAGGGAAUCUUCCGCAAUGGGCGAAAGCCUGACGGAGCAACGCCGCGUGAGUGAAGAAGGUCUUCGGAUCGUAAAGCUCUGUUAUUAGGGAAGAACAAAUGUGUAAGUAACUAUGCACGUCUUGACGGUACCUGAUCAGAAAGCCACGGCUAACUACGUG